rnacentral:lncRNA from 13 species
AUGAAGAUGAUGAAGACCCUUUGCUCCCAGGGAAGGAGAAGGGCCUCUGUUUUUGUUUCUGAACGGCUCAACCUUAAAAUUGUACCCCAAAAAACUUCAAGAGUGGACCCUUGAAAGCAGUUGCGGGAAAAGCUGCAAGUCGGGGGAAAGGACUCACAUGCGAGCAGAGAGACUCCUCUUCCUAAAUGGACUGAACAAUAUUUGGAAGUGGGCGGCUGUCUCGUUGUGAUAAUGUUUUCAUAGCACGAGCAAGAAGAGACUUCUUUUUCUAAAUGGACUGAACAAGGUUAUUAUGUGUUGGAGAAUGGUUAGAGGAUCAGGGACAUGGAUUAUUGAUAAAGGGUACAGAUCAAUAAAAGAACUGUACAAGCAAAAGCCUGCACAAGAAAAUGCCUCCAUGAGAAAAUGCCUGUGUGAGAAACAGGCCUGAGAACCAAAAGGGAGUUUUAAGGCGGUACAGUCCUGUGCUGAUAAAAUGUACUGACCAUGAGAAGGGAGGAAGAUCUUUGAUCUCUCAAGUCAAAACAUAAAUAAUAGAAGCUUGCCAAAUGUAGUCUUUUAUCUAACCCAAUUAUGUAGAAGUAAGAAUGCGCUUUUGUAAGCUUAAACCAAUCAAGAACUGACAAGCAUAUAUACUGAUACUAUAUAAGUGCCUCUGUAUUGCUAAUAAACAAAGCUUGCUUUAUCAAUCACAUUGAUUGUCUGCAUGUUUUCCCCCACCGAAGUCAGCAAUUAUGGAAGUGGUAAACAGACUGAACAUCUUAAGGGUUGUCUUUUUACAUUGUCAGUGGGAGAAGGGAGGAAGGAGGAGAGUUCUGAAGGUGGUAUAAUUUUUUUUUCUUCUUUUAGGUCUGUUAAUAAACUUCUUUAUAUUCUUUCAAGUUUGGUGCCUGUUUUGCAUUUCUUCUAAUUCUUAUCUCACAGCAGAUAAACAGUAAUGAGUAUUUUGGACCAAACCACUACAGUUCCCUUGUGUGUCCCUCAUCCUGCAGACCCAUCCUUCUCCUUCCCUGAUUCGAUGCCAUUGUCAUCCCUCCCCUGUCGCCACCCCCCCAUAAAACCCCUGGCAGGCGCAUUCAGGGUUGCUCAUUGCUGGACACCCCUGGGGGGCGAGGUCCCCUGUUCGGAGACACAAUAAACCUUCCGGAUUUCAUCCACAAUUGAGCCUGCCUCCUUCUUCCACCACCUGCCUCUAUUGCCGCGGUCCUGUGGAAGGACCCACGAGCCAGACCUCUGGUCUCCCGGAUUCCAGAGGCUGGCCCCCGCAGCCUCCUGCGUCCAGAGCUGACCGGGCAAAG